rnacentral:rRNA from 1 species
UACGGGAGGCAGCAGUGGGGAAUAUUGCACAAUGGGCGCAAGCCUGAUGCAGCCAUGCCGCGUGUAUGAAGAAGGCCUUCGGGUUGUAAAGUACUUUCAGUCGUGAGGAAGGUGUUAAGGUUAAUAACCUUAGCAAUUGACGUUAGCGACAGAAGAAGCACCGGCUAACUCCGUGCCAGCAGCCGCGGUAAUACGGAGGGUGCGAGCGUUAAUCGGAAUUACUGAGCGUAAAGGGCACGCAGGCGGUUAAUUAAGUUGGAUGUGAAAUCCCCGGGCUUAACCUGGGAAUGGCAUUCAAGACUGGUUAGCUAGAGUCUUGUAGAGGGGGUAGAAUUCCAUGUGUAGCGGUGAAAUGCGUAGAGAUGUGGAGGAAUACCGGUGGCGAAGGCGGCCCCUGGACAAAGACUGACGCUCAUGUGCGAAAGCGUGGGGAGCAAACAGGGAUUAGAUACC